rnacentral:rRNA from 1 species
UAGAGUUUGAUCCUGGCUCAGAUUGAACGCUGGCGGCAUGCCUUACACAUGCAAGUCGAACGGCAGCGCGGGGCAACCUGGCGGCGAGUGGCGAACGGGUGAGUAAUAUAUCGGAACGUACCCUGGAGUGGGGGAUAACGUAGCGAAAGUUACGCUAAUACCGCAUACGAUCUAAGGAUGAAAGUGGGGGAUCGCAAGACCUCAUGCUCCUGGAGCGGCCGAUAUCUGAUUAGCUAGUUGGUGGGGUAAGAGCCCACCAAGGCGACGAUCAGUAGCUGGUCUGAGAGGACGACCAGCCACACUGGGACUGAGACACGGCCCAGACUCCUACGGGAGGCAGCAGUGGGGAAUUUUGGACAAUGGGGGCAACCCUGAUCCAGCAAUGCCGCGUGUGUGAAGAAGGCCUUCGGGUUGUAAAGCACUUUUGUUCGGAAAGAAAUCGCUCUGGCUAAUACCUGGAGUGGAUGACGGUACCGGAAGAAUAAGCACCGGCUAACUACGUGCCAGCAGCCGCGGUAAUACGUAGGGUGCAAGCGUUAAUCGGAAUUACUGGGCGUAAAGCGUGCGCAGGCGGUUGUGCAAGACAGAGGUGAAAUCCCCGGGCUUAACCUGGGAACUGCCUUUGUGACUGCACGGCUAGAGUGUGUCAGAGGGGGGUAGAAUUCCACGUGUAGCAGUGAAAUGCGUAGAUAUGUGGAGGAAUACCGAUGGCGAAGGCAGCCCCCUGGGAUAACACUGACGCUCAUGCACGAAAGCGUGGGGAGCAAACAGGAUUAGAUACCCUGGUAGUCCACGCCCUAAACGAUGUCAACUAGUUGUCGGGUCUUAAUUGACUUGGUAACGCAGCUAACGCGUGAAGUUGACCGCCUGGGGAGUACGGUCGCAAGAUUAAAACUCAAAGGAAUUGACGGGGACCCGCACAAGCGGUGGAUGAUGUGGAUUAAUUCGAUGCAACGCGAAAAACCUUACCUACCCUUGACAUGGUCGGAAUCCUGGAGAGAUCUGGGAGUGCUCGAAAGAGAACCUA